UGAACGCUGGCGGCAGGCCUAACACAUGCAAGUCGAACGGAAACAUGUCUAGCUUGCUAGAUGAUGUCGAGUGGCGGACGGGUGAGUAAUGCUUGGGAACUUGCCUUUGCGAGGGGGAUAACAGUUGGAAACGACUGCUAAUACCGCAUAAUGUCUUCGGACCAAACGGGGCUUAGGCUCCGGCGCAAAGAGAGGCCCAAGUGAGAUUAGCUAGUUGGUGAGGUAAAGGCUCACCAAGGCAACGAUCUCUAGCUGUUCUGAGAGGAAGAUCAGCCACACUGGGACUGAGACACGGCCCAGACUCCUACGGGAGGCAGCAGUGGGGAAUAUUGCACAAUGGGGGAAACCCUGAUGCAGCCAUGCCGCGUGUGUGAAGAAGGCCUUCGGGUUGUAAAGCACUUUCAGUUGUGAGGAAAAGUUAGUAGUUAAUACCUGCUAGCCGUGACGUUACUGACAGAAGAAGCACCGGCUAACUCCG
rnacentral:rRNA from 1 species